CCUACGGGCGGCAGCAGUGGGGAAUAUUGCACAAUGGACGCAACCCUGAACCAGCCACGCCGCGUGAGUGAAGACGGAACUCUUUAUUUAAAGCUCUAUUAGCAGGGGAGAAAAUGACGGUACCUGAGUCAGUAUGAACGUCUAACUACGUGACAGAAGCCGCGGUAAUACGCAGGCGGCAGGGGUUAUCCGGAUUUACUGGGUGUAAGGGGGGCGUAGGCGGCUGUGCAAGUCUGGAGUGAAAGGCGGGGGCUCAACCCCCGGAUUGCUGUUGAAACUGUUCGGUUGGAGUGUAGGAGAGGUAAGUGGAAUUCAUGGUGUAGCGGUGAAAUGCGUAGAGAUUAGGAGGAACACCAGUUGCGAAGGCAGCUUACCGGGCUAUAACUGACGUUGAGGCUCGAAAGCGUGGGGAGCAAACAGGAUUAGAUACCCCGGUAGUC
rnacentral:rRNA from 1 species